UGAAGGGCGUGCUAAUCUGCGAUAAGCGCCGGUAAGGUGAUAUGAACCGUUAUAACCGGCGAUACCCGAAUGGGGAAACCCAGUGUGACUCGUCACACUAUCAUUAACUGAAUCCAUAGGUUAAUGAGGCGAACCGGGGGAACUGAAACAUCUAAGUACCCCGAGGAAAAGAAAUCAACCGAGAUUCCCCCAGUAGCGGCGAGCGAACGGGGAGGAGCCCAGAGCCUGAAUCAGCAUGUGUGUUAGUGGAAGCGUCUGGAAAGGCGCGCGAUACAGGGUGACAGCCCCGUACACAAAAGCGCAUGUGCUGUGAGCUCGAUGAGUAGGGCGGGACACGUGGUAUCCUGUCUGAAUAUGGGGGGACCAUCCUCCAAGGCUAAAUACUCCUGACUGACCGAUAGUGAACCAGUACCGUGAGGGAAAGGCGAAAAGAACCCCGGCGAGGGGAGUGAAAAAGAACCUGAAACCGUGUACGUACAAGCAGUGGGAGCACAGGUUUACCUGUGUGACUGCGUACCUUUUGUAUAAUGGGUCAGCGACUUAUAUUCUGUAGCAAGGUUAACCGAAUAGGGGAGCCGGAGGGAAACCGAGUCUUAAUUGGGCGUUAAGUUGCAGGGUAUAGACCCGAAACCCGGUGAUCUAGCCAUGGGCAGGUUGAAGGUUGGGUAACACUAACUGGAGGACCGAACCGACUAAUGUUGAAAAAUUAGCGGAUGACCUGUGGCUGGGGGUGAAAGGCCAAUCAAACCGGGAGAUAGCUGGUUCUCCCCGAAAGCUAUUUAGGUAGCGCCUCGUGAAUUCAUCUCCGGGGGUAGAGCACUGUUUCGGCUAGGGGGCCAUCCCGGCUUACCAACCCGAUGCAAACUGCGAAUACCGGAGAAUGUUAUCACGGGAGACACACGGCGGGUGCUAACGUCCGUCGUGAAGAGGGAAACAACCCAGACCGCCAGCUAAGGUCCCAAAGUCAUGGUUAAGUGGGAAACGAUGUGGGAAGGCCCAGACAGCCAGGAUGUUGGCUUAGAAGCAGCCAUCAUUUAAAGAAAGCGUAAUAGCUCACUGGUCGAGUCGGCCUGCGCGGAAGAUGUAACGGGGCUAAACCAUGCACCGAAGCUGCGGCAGCGACACUGUGUGUUGUUGGGUAGGGGAGCGUUCUGUAAGCCUGUGAAGGUGUGUCGUGAGGCAUGCUGGAGGUAUCAGAAGUGCGAAUGCUGACAUAAGUAACGAUAAAGCGGGUGAAAAGCCCGCUCGCCGGAAGACCAAGGGUUCCUGUCCAACGUUAAUCGGGGCAGGGUGAGUCGACCCCUAAGGCGAGGCCGAAAGGCGUAGUCGAUGGGAAACGGGUUAAUAUUCCCGUACUUGGUGUUACUGCGAAGGGGGGACGGAGAAGGCUAUGUUGGCCGGGCGACGGUUGUCCCGGUUUAAGCGUGUAGGUGUGUGUUCCAGGUAAAUCCGGUUCACUUUAACACUGAGGCGUGACGACGAGGCACUACGGUGCUGAAGCAACAAAUGCCCUGCUUCCAGGAAAAGCCUCUAAGCAUCAGGUAACAUCAAAUCGUACCCCAAACCGACACAGGUGGUCAGGUAGAGAAUACCAAGGCGCUUGAGAGAACUCGGGUGAAGGAACUAGGCAAAAUGGUGCCGUAACUUCGGGAGAAGGCACGCUGACACGUAGGUGAAGUGAUUUACUCAUGGAGCUGAAGUCAGUCGAAGAUACCAGCUGGCUGCAACUGUUUAUUAAAAACACAGCACUGUGCAAACACGAAAGUGGACGUAUACGGUGUGACGCCUGCCCGGUGCCGGAAGGUUAAUUGAUGGGGUCAGCGCAAGCGAAGCUCCUGAUCGAAGCCCCGGUAAACGGCGGCCGUAACUAUAACGGUCCUAAGGUAGCGAAAUUCCUUGUCGGGUAAGUUCCGACCUGCACGAAUGGCGUAAUGAUGGCCAGGCUGUCUCCACCCGAGACUCAGUGAAAUUGAACUCGCUGUGAAGAUGCAGUGUACCCGCGGCAAGACGGAAAGACCCCGUGAACCUUUACUAUAGCUUGACACUGAACAUUGAGCCUUGAUGUGUAGGAUAGGUGGGAGGCUUUGAAGUGUGGACGCCAGUCUGCAUGGAGCCGACCUUGAAAUACCACCCUUUAAUGUUUGAUGUUCUAACGUGGACCCGUUACCCGGGUUGCGGACAGUGUCUGGUGGGUAGUUUGACUGGGGCGGUCUCCUCCUAAAGAGUAACGGAGGAGCACGAAGGUUGGCUAAUCCUGGUCGGACAUCAGGAGGUUAGUGCAAUGGCAUAAGCCAGCUUGACUGCGAGCGUGACGGCGCGAGCAGGUGCGAAAGCAGGUCAUAGUGAUCCGGUGGUUCUGAAUGGAAGGGCCAUCGCUCAACGGAUAAAAGGUACUCCGGGGAUAACAGGCUGAUACCGCCCAAGAGUUCAUAUCGACGGCGGUGUUUGGCACCUCGAUGUCGGCUCAUCACAUCCUGGGGCUGAAGUAGGUCCCAAGGGUAUGGCUGUUCGCCAUUUAAAGUGGUACGCGAGCUGGGUUUAGAACGUCGUGAGACAGUUCGGUCCCUAUCUGCCGUGGGCGCUGGAGAACUGAGGGGGGCUGCUCCUAGUACGAGAGGACCGGAGUGGACGCAUCACUGGUGUUCGGGUUGUCAUGCCAAUGGCACUGCCCGGUAGCUAAAUGCGGAAGAGAUAAGUGCUGAAAGCAUCUAAGCACGAAACUUGCCCCGAG
rnacentral:rRNA from 1 species